rnacentral:rRNA from 1 species
GAUGAACGCUGGCGGCGUGCCUAAUACAUGCAAGUCGAGCGAACAGACGAGGAGCUUGCUCCUCUGACGUUAGCGGCGGACGGGUGAGUAACACGUGGAUAACCUACCUAUAAGACUGGGAUAACUUCGGGAAACCGGAGCUAAUACCGGACAAUAUAUUGAACCGCAUGGUUCAAUAGUGAAAGACGGUUUUGCUGUCACUUAUAGAUGGAUCCGCGCCGCAUUAGCUAGUUGGUAAGGUAACGGCUUACCAAGGCAACGAUGCGUAGCCGACCUGAGAGGGUGAUCGGCCACACUGGAACUGAGACACGGUCCAGACUCCUACGGGAGGCAGCAGUAGGGAAUCUUCCGCAAUGGGCGAAAGCUUGACGGAGCAACGCCGCGUGAGUGAUGAAGGUCUUCGGAUCGUAAAACUCUGUUAUUAGGGAAGAACAAAUGUGUAAGUAACUAUGCACGUCUUGACGGUACCUAAUCAGAAAGCCACGGCUAACUACGUG